rnacentral:rRNA from 1 species
AGGACGAACGCUGGCGGCGUGCUUAACACAUGCAAGUCGAGCGGAAAGGCCCUUCGGGGUACUCGAGCGGCGAACGGGUGAGUAACACGUGAGUAAUCUGCCCCUAUGCUCUGGGAUAGCUCCGGGAAACCGGGAUUAAUACCAGAUACGACCACUUUAGACAUCUGUUGUGGUGGAAAGAAUUUUGGCUAGGGAUGAGCUCGCGGCCUAUCAGCUUGUUGGUGAGGUAACGGCUCACCAAGGCGACGACGGGUAGCCGGCCUGAGAGGGCGACCGGCCACACUGGGACUGAGACACGGCCCAGACUCCUACGGGAGGCAGCAGUGGGGAAUAUUGCGCAAUGGGCGAAAGCCUGACGCAGCGACGCCGCGUGGGGAUGAAGGCCUCGGUUGUAACCCUUUCAGCAGGACGAAGCGAAGUGACGGUACCUGCAGAGAAGCGCCGGCUAACUACGCGCCAGCAGCCGC